AGUGAACGCUGGCGGUAGGCCUAACACAUGCAAAUCCAACGGCAGCACAGUAAGAGCUUGCUCUUACGGGUGGCGAGUGGCGGACGGGUGAGGAAUACAUCGGAAUCUACUUUUUCGUGGGGGAUAACGUAGGGAAACUUACGCUAAUACCGCAUACGACCUACGGGUGAAAGCAGGGGAUCUUCGGACCUUGCGCGAUUGAAUGAGCCGAUGUCGGAUUAGCUAGUUGGCGGGGUAAAGGCCCACCAAGGCGACGAUCCGUAGCUGGUCUGAGAGGAUGAUCAGCCACACUGGAACUGAGACACGGUCCAGACUCCUACGGGAGGCAGCAGUGGGGAAUAUUGGACAAUGGGCGCAAGCCUGAUCCAGCCAUACCGCGUGGGUGAAGAAGGCCUUCGGGUUGUAAAGCCCUUUUGUUGGGAAAGAAAAGCAGCAGGUUAAUACCCCGCUGUUCUGACGGUACCCAAAGAAUAAGCACCGGCUAACUUCGUG
rnacentral:rRNA from 1 species